AGAGUUUGAUCAUGGCUCAGAACGAACGCUGGCGGCAGGCUUAACACAUGCAAGUCGAACGCCCCGCAAGGGGAGUGGCAGACGGGUGAGUAACGCGUGGGAACGUGCCCUUCGCUUCGGAAUAGUCCCGGGAAACUGGGUUUAAUACCGGAUACGCCGUAUUGGGAAAGAUUUAUCGGCGAAGGAUCGGCCCGCGUUAGAUUAGGUAGUUGGCGGUGUAAUGGACCACCAAGCCUACGAUCUAUAGCUGGUCUGAGAGGAUGAUCAGCCACACUGGGACUGAGACACGGCCCAGACUCCUACGGGAGGCAGCAGUGGGGAAUCUUGGACAAUGGGCGCAAGCCUGAUCCAGCCAUGCCGCGUGAGUGAAGAAGGCCUUAGGGUUGUAAAACUCUUUCGCCGGAGAAGAUAAUGACGGUAUCCGAGAAGAG
rnacentral:rRNA from 1 species